rnacentral:rRNA from 1 species
GGUAACAGCCAUCUAGGAGAUACACCUGUACCCAUGCCGAACACAGAAGUUAAGCCCUAGAACGCCGGAAGUAGUUGGGGGUUGCCCCCUGUGAGAU